GGGCGAUUAGCUCAGUGGGAGAGCGCUACCUUGACACGGUAGAGGUCACAGGUUCAAUCCCUGUAUCGCCCA
rfam:Actinoalloteichus sp. GBA129-24, complete genome.